UAGUGUGGUUUAAUUCGAUGCAACGCGAAGAACCUUACCUGGUCUUGACAUCCCGGAGACCCUUAGGAAACUAGGGGGUGCUUCCAUCUGGAAGAAUCUGGAGACAGGUGCUGCAUGGCUGUCGUCAGCUCGUGUCGUGAGAUGUUGGGUUAAGUCCCGCAACGAGCGCAACCCUUGCCUUUAGUUGCCAGCAGUUCGGCUGGGCACUCUAAAGGGACUGCCGGUGUUAAACCGGAGGAAGGUGGGGAUGACGUCAAGUCCUCAUGGCCUUUAUGACCAGGGCUACGCACGUACUACAAUGGCCGAUACAAAGGGCAGCGACACUGCGAGGUGAAGCCAAUCCCGUAAAAUCGGUCUCAGUCCGGAUUGGAGUCUGCAACUCGACUCCAUGAAGUUGGAAUCGCUAGUAAUCGUGGAUCAGCAUGCCACGGUGAAUACGUUCCCGGGCCUU
rnacentral:rRNA from 1 species